AGGUAGAAGAUUCCGGUUUGGAAGUAUUGGAAAGGAAAAGGUGAUAGUCGUAAUGACUGGACUCUGCAUGCUUUAUGGUGAUGGACCGAAUGAUGAGUUAGGACUGGAAUCCAACGGAGACUAUACCAGGAAAUUUGGUUACUUGGAUUUCUGAGAAUACAGCAAUGUUACUGAAACUGGAGUUGCCUAUGGAAGUCUCCUCAACAGAGUCUGGUACCAACCAGAGGAGAUCUUUCCUGUCCAUGGAGUCCCGGAAGUCAGACAUGUCUUCUGGGUUGCUGUCGACAACAAGUACUGCGCACUUUCAAAGCAGCUUGAGGGCCUGAAGUCGAAGAGGGUGUGUCAACUUUACGUAUGCCUACCGAGGAGUCCUGUGGUGGUGAGGGUGACAAGGUGAUGCAGUGGUAAUCUCUUGAGCAACAUGGCCUGCAAGCACUUUUUGCAUUCCAAGUUCAACGCCACCACGUUGGAUAUCGAGAGCGCAGCUGUUGCACUCGUUGCCUGCUUGCAGCAGAGGACUUCCGUCCAUAGCUUUCAGAGCUGUUUCGGGAGGCGGAUCUUUCCAAUCCCAGCAUGCUGCUGCCGUGUUCACCAAUUUGGCAGUCGAGAAUGCUGUCGAAGUCGUCGUCCAAUUC